rnacentral:misc_RNA from 1 species
ACACACACACACACACACACACACACACACACACACAUAAAAAGGAGAGAGGCUGGUGUGAGGCGUUCAUUGCUAAGGUGUGCUGGGUUGCGUGCACACAUACACACACACACACACACAUACGCACGCACGCACAUAGUAUACACGCACACGCACACACACACGCACUUCCUCGUCUUCGCUUUCGUCAGGAGUGCUUCAAGGAUGCGCGGCCUGGUGGUGCUGCUGGCGGCGGCGGCGGUGGCCACAGCCCAAGUGGGGGGCGGCGGCUGGCUCAGCGACGGGUACCUGCCGCCGCGGCCUGACCCUGAGGGCGCGGGCGGCGGGGCAUGCGAGGCAG